AUAAUUGCAUGAUUUCCUUCUGUGUUAGGAGUUCUUAAUGCUAUUUCCUUUCUGAUCAAUUGGAAAUUGAUUUCAGACUUUCUCAACCUAAUAAGUGUUUGAUGAAAUGUCUGAACCAACUAAUUUCAGAGAUUUGUAGAUUCUAGCCCAAGACAUUGGAUGUUUAGAAAACUUAUUUUUCAUCAAUGAAAGUUGAGAUUAGGAAGUGGUAAAGUUAUGAGGAUCAUUGUCAUGAGAGUGGAUUGAUCUUGUUUUGAAUCUAUUGUCUAGGGAUAGCUUGAUUGAGUUUGUUAGUUAGCUAAAUAGAUUGAGGAGUCCACUAGAACCAAUUACCCCAUUCUUAAGAGCUCUGUUUCGUUUUAUUGUGCAUGACUCGUGUCUUUAGUCUUCUGCUCGUUCUGUUUAGUUUCUUGUGCAAACUUGGUGUUUUUAGUAUCUUGCUUGACCGGUUUAAUAUUAUGCUCGGCCGAGUACUUUACUUGGUGCUUGGUUUACUUUCUAGUCCAUGCAUUUGAUAGUUCUUGGUCUUUAAUUUCAUUCGUGCUUCUAUCACUUGUGUUCUUUACUUUCUACUUAGUAUAGUUUCAUUUCUAAAUCUGAUUUGCAUGUUAAUCUAUUGCUUAGGUUUAGUAGAACACUAAACCCACUCAUACUUGGCUUGACUUAGUACUCUAUGAUCACAUCCUGAUUGAUAGCAAUACCACCCAAUUGGAUUAACACCUUAAAUGUUGCAAUGACAUAAGAUGCAUUUAGGGAAUUGACACACAAAAUUAUUGUAUCAAUAUGACACGUUGACGCAUGAUUCACUUCUCUCUCGAAGUUAUCAUGGCUAUGGGUUUCCAUC
rnacentral:sRNA from 1 species